rfam:Salmo salar isolate Sally breed double haploid chromosome ssa27, whole genome shotgun sequence.
AUGAAGGACAUUUGUAAGUCGCUCUGGAUAAGAGCGUCUGCUAAAUGACGUAAA